rnacentral:rRNA from 1 species
UACGAAGGGGGCUAGCGUUGCUCGGAAUCACUGGGCGUAAAGGGUGCGUAGGCGGGUCUUUAAGUCAGGGGUGAAAUCCUGGAGCUCAACUCCAGAACUGCCUUUGAUACUGAGGAUCUUGAGUUCGGGAGAGGUGAGUGGAACUGCGAGUGUAGAGGUGAAAUUCGUAGAUAUUCGCAAGAACACCAGUGGCGAAGGCGGCUCACUGGCCCGAUACUGACGCUGAGGAGCGAAAGCGUGGGUAGCAAACGGG